rnacentral:rRNA from 1 species
CUGUAAGGAUACCUUACAUUCAUGAAUUCUAAAUUCAUAGCACUUUUCUGCCAAAGUAGUUAAUAAUAAUCAAUAAACAAAAAUUAUUUUCAAGUUUUGGUCCUUUCGUACUAAAAACUAAUUAAAAAUUGGAGAUAGAAACCGACCUGGCUUAAACCGGUCUGAACUCAGAUCAUGUAAGAAUUUAAAGGUCGAACAGACCUAUAAAUUAAGCGGCUACACCUAAUUAUUAUCUUAAUCCAACAUCGAGGUCGCAAGCCCCACUCGUAAAUAUGAACUCUGGGAGGGGAUUACGCUGUUAUCCCUAAGGUAACUUAAUCUAAUAAUCAAUAAUAAUGGAUCAGAUAACCAUAAAUUAAUGUUAAAUAAAUAAAAAAGUUUUUCUUAUUUUCUUGUCACCCCAACAAAAUAAUAAUCAGUUUAAUUAAAAAUUAUAUUUUUAUAAUUAAAAUAAUUAAUAUAAAGCUCUAUAGGGUCUUCUCGUCUUCCAAUUAAAUUUAAGCCUUUUGACUAAAAAGUUAAAUUCUAAAUCCAAAUAAAAUGAGACAGUCAAUACCUCGUCAAACCUUUCAUUCCAGCCCCCUUUUAAAAGACUAAUGAUUAUGCUACCUUUGCACGGUCAAUAUACCGCGGCCGUUAAAAUAAAUCACUGGGCAGGUCAGACCUUAUAUACACUCAAAAGGACAUGUUUUUGUUAAACAGGCGAGUAUUAUAUUUGCCGAAUUCCUUAUUUUAUCAUAAAUGUUAAUUUACACUAAACAAUACAAUUAUACUAAUUUAAUCAUUAUUUCACUAAAUUCAAAAUUAAUUUAGAUAUUUUAAUAAAAUUCUAAAAAUAAAUAAAUUAAUUAAUAAUCAAUAUAAAUUAUAACACACAUAAUAAUGAUGGAUAAUUUUAACCCUACAUAAAUUGAUUAAUAAAAAGACUUUUUAGUUCAAUAUAGAGCUUAUCCCCUAUAAUUUUUAAUUCAAUAAAUAAAUUAUAAUAAAAAUUUAAAAUUUACAUAAAGAAAUUAAAUUAAAUUUAAUUCUUAAAAAACUAGAUACCAUCAAAAACGAAUAAGAUUUCCCCACUAAAUUAUAUUAUUAAUAGUUUUGUAACAAUAAAUAAAUUAAUAACUUAGAUCUUUUGAAAUCGAGAAAUAAAUAUAUAUUUAAUAUAUUUGAUAAACCCUGAUACAAAAGGUACUGCAAAUUAAACAUACUUAAUUAAAAUUAAAUUUUUCAUUUAUUUCAAUAAUUCCUUCACAGUACUAAUAAACUAUAACAAAAAUUAAUUUUUCUUUAAUAUACUAAACAAAAAAGAUACUUCUGUAAUAAAAUAAAAAAUAAAAAAGUAAAUAAAUAAUUAUCAAAUUAAACUGAAUUGC